GAUGAAGAACGUAGCGAAAUGUGAUACUUGGUGUGAAUUGCAGAAUCCCGUGAACCAUCGAGUCUUUGAACGCAAGUUGCGCCCGAAGCCAUCAGGUUGAGGGCACGUCUGCCUGGGCGUCACAUAUCGUUGCCCAAUGCCUAUUGCAGUGCAAUAGGAAUUUCUAGGGCGAAUGAUGGCUUCCCGUGAGCGUUGUUGCCUCGCGGUUGGUUGAAAAUCGAGUCCUUGGUAGGGUGUGCCAUGGUAGAUGGUGGUCGAGUUAGAACGAUACCGAUCAUGUGCAUGCUCCCCAAAAUAUGGCCUCUAUGACCCACACGCGUCUUUUGACGCUCAUGACGAGACCUCAGGUCAGGCGGGGCUACCCGCUGAAUUUAAGCAUAUCAAUAAGCGGGGA
rnacentral:misc_RNA from 1 species